rnacentral:rRNA from 1 species
GAUGAACGCUGGCGGCGUGCCUAAAACAUGCAAGUCGAGCGGUAAGGCUCUGCACUUAGUGUUUGAUCGAAGUAAUUUAUUACUACAGUAGACCAAUUGGAACCUUGGCGGGUGAAGAGCGGAAUAGGAAGAUCGAAUUAUAAGUGUAGAGUACACGAGCGGCGGACGGGUGAGUAACACGUGGGAAUCUACCCCAAACUGAGGGAUAAGCACCGGAAACGGUGUCUAAUACCGCAUAUGGUCUUCGGAUUAAAGCUUCGGCGGUUUGGGAAGAGCCCGCGUAAGAUUAGCUAGUUGGUGAGGUAAAGGCUCACCAAGGCGACGAUCUUUAGCUGGUUUGAGAGGAUGAUCAGCCACACUGGAACUGAGACACGGUCCAGACUCCUACGGGAGGCAGCAGUUAGGAAUUUUCCACAAUGGGCGCAAGCCUGAUGGAGCAACGCCGCGUGCAGGAUGAAGGUUUUCGGAUUGUAAACUGCUUUUAUGUGUGAAGAAUAUGACGGUAACACAUAG